rnacentral:misc_RNA from 1 species
GUAACAUAAAACUUCUUCCUCCACAGUUACACUUGAAAAUAAGAACUUAGACAACUCAUACAAUAGCUUUAAAAGAAAACAAAAAAGGCGCGAGGACGAUACAGGCAAAUGCUCUACAGAAAACAAAUAGACAACAGAAGACAUACUCUACAACACACUUUUCCUAACAACUAAAACUAGAAUCGAACUCACAAAAAGCUUCUUUACAUGGCUGCCAAAAGAUCGCGCAUUUCUGAAACAGAUGGGACGUUCUCGCUGGGGUAUAUCUUGGCUACAAGCUGAGCAAAACUUUCGUACUUGUCCAAGAACUCUUUCUUGCAUUUAUCCCAUAAUGAAGGCAGCAACUCCUCUGAGGUCAAGUUUUUCUGCAAUCUCUUAUACAUUGCACUGAUGGACUUAUCUGCCCCAGAUAAACUGGAUUUUACCACCUUCCGAAGAUCCAUCUUUGACAGCCCAAGUUGGAAGGGAAUCUCUUCAGGCGGGAUUGUGUACAUCAAAUCCUCGAUUCUUCGAACAAACUGAAAAAGUCGCUCAAAUUGAUAGAAUAUAAUCACAUUGAUAUGGCGUGUGCAAGCUUGUUCAUAAGAUUCACUGGCUUCAUGAUAGAAUUUUGCUAAUGUUGGCACCAUAUUAGCCAGUUCAUAAAGACUAUUCUGGAAUGCUGCAUAGUUUUCUAAAAGCAUAAUGUCUUCAUAUUUUGGGUCUGCUUUAGCAAUUUUAUCCAAAGUAAGGAACAUUGUAGUGACAAACUUAGCGUACGCCUGGUCAACCAAAUCCCUUGAUUGUCCU